GACAGAGGUGCCAAGCGUUAGGCGGAAUCACUGGGCUUAAAGCGUGUGUAGGCGGAAUGGUAAGUACCUUGUGAAAUCCCACGGCUCAACCGUGGAACUGCCUGGUAUACUGCUUUUCUUGAGUCACUUAGGGGCUGUCGGAACAAACGGUGGAGCGGUGAAAUGCGUAGAUAUCGUUUGGAACGCCAACGGUGAAAACAGACAGCUGGGAGUGUGCUGACGCUGAGACACGAAAGCCAUGGGAGCGAACGGG
rnacentral:rRNA from 1 species